rnacentral:rRNA from 1 species
AAAUUGAAGAGUUUGAUCAUGGCUCAGAUUGAACGCUGGCGGCAGGCCUAACACAUGCAAGUCGAGCGGUAGCACAGAGAGCUUGCUCUCGGGUGACGAGCGGCGGACGGGUGAGUAAUGUCUGGGAAACUGCCUGAUGGAGGGGGAUAACUACUGGAAACGGUAGCUAAUACCGCAUAACGUCGCAAGACCAAAGUGGGGGACCUUCGGGCCUCAUGCCAUCAGAUGUGCCCAGAUGGGAUUAGCUAGUAGGUGGGGUAAUGGCUCACCUAGGCGACGAUCCCUAGCUGGUCUGAGAGGAUGACCAGCCACACUGGAACUGAGACACGGUCCAGACUCCUACGGGAGGCAGCAGUGGGGAAUAUUGCACAAUGGGCGCAAGCCUGAUGCAGCCAUGCCGCGUGUGUGAAGAAGGCCUUCGGGUUGUAAAGCACUUUCAGCGGGGAGGAAGGCGUUGAGGUUAAUAACCUCAUCGAUUGACGUUACCCGCAGAAGAAGCACCGGCUAACUCCGUGCCAGCAGCCGCGGUAAUACGGAGGGUGCAAGCGUUAAUCGGAAUUACUGGGCGUAAAGCGCACGCAGGCGGUCUGUCAAGUCGGAUGUGAAAUCCCCGGGCUCAACCUGGGAACUGCAUUCGAAACUGGCAGGCUAGAGUCUUGUAGAGGGGGGUAGAAUUCCAGGUGUAGCGGUGAAAUGCGUAGAGAUCUGGAGGAAUACCGGUGGCGAAGGCGGCCCCCUGGACAAAGACUGACGCUCAGGUGCGAAAGCGUGGGGAGCAAACAGGAUUAGAUACCCUGGUAGUCCACGCCGUAAACGAUGUCGAUUUGGAGGUUGUGCCCUUGAGGCGUGGCUUCCGGAGCUAACGCGUUAAAUCGACCGCCUGGGGAGUACGGCCGCAAGGUUAAAACUCAAAUGAAUUGACGGGGGCCCGCACAAGCGGUGGAGCAUGUGGUUUAAUUCGAUGCAACGCGAAGAACCUUACCUGGUCUUGACAUCCACAGAACUUUCCAGAGAUGGAUUGGUGCCUUCGGGAACUGUGAGACAGGUGCUGCAUGGCUGUCGUCAGCUCGUGUUGUGAAAUGUUGGGUUAAGUCCCGCAACGAGCGCAACCCUUAUCCUUUGUUGCCAGCGGUUAGGCCGGGAACUCAAAGGAGACUGCCAGUGAUAAACUGGAGGAAGGUGGGGAUGACGUCAAGUCAUCAUGGCCCUUACGACCAGGGCUACACACGUGCUACAAUGGCAUAUACAAAGAGAAGCGACCUCGCGAGAGCAAGCGGACCUCAUAAAGUAUGUCGUAGUCCGGAUUGGAGUCUGCAACUCGACUCCAUGAAGUCGGAAUCGCUAGUAAUCGUAGAUCAGAAUGCUACGGUGAAUACGUUCCCGGGCCUUGUACACACCGCCCGUCACACCAUGGGAGUGGGUUGCAAAAGAAGUAGGUAGCUUAACCUUCGGGAGGGCGCUUACCACUUUGUGAUUCAUGACUGGGGUGAAGUCGUAACAAGGUAACCGUAGGGGAACCUGCGGUUGGAUCACCUCCUUACCUUAAAGAA